AUGAGGAUCCCAAAAGCUGAGGUAAAGGAUACCGUAGCAUGGCAUUACGAGAAAUCCGGGAUUUUCACGGUCAAAAGUGCAUACAAACUUGCGGAGUCCCUAAAGAGAAAUACCAUAGCCGAGGCCUCCACUUCAGGUAGCGACCUGGAGGACAGAGGAAUAUGGGAUGCUAUCUGGAAAGCUAAGCUGCCAAACAAGGUGAAAAUAUUUGGAUGGAGAGUUGCCACAAGAACCCUUGCCACAAAACAUAAUGCCUGUAGGAGAACUUUAGCCAUAGACAGUGUGUGUGACAUUUGUGGCAUGGCUCCAGAGGAUGAAUUCCAUGUUGUUGUUGCAUGCACUAGAAGCAGUGCUCUGAGACAUGAAAUGAGGAGUCAUUGGGAGCUACCAAAGGAAGUGGACAUGCGGGAUACAGGACCUGAUUGGCUACAACUUCUCCUCCUCGCAUAUCCCGAAACAGUCAGAAGGAACACUCUCCUCCUGCUAUGGCAGGCGUGGAAUUUGAGGAAUGAUGUUAUACAUGGAGAUGGGAAGGAAAGGGUAUCGGGUGCUGUGCAAGCUCUAAUUAGGUUGCAUGAGGAUCUGUCUGAGGCUGACAGGGGUCACGGGGAUGAAAGGAACAUUAAUAAGAUGUCGGUCUUCCCGACGAUGCCCCAGAUUCCCGCUCGGCCAACACCUGAUUAUUGGGUUGCCCCUCCCCUGGGGGUAGCCAAGUUA
rnacentral:rRNA from 1 species